UGCCUACGGGGCGCAGCAGUGGGGAAUAUUGCACAAUGGGGGAAACCCUGAUGCAGCGACGCCGCGUGAGUGAAGAAGUAUUUCGGUAUGUAAAGCUCUAUCAGCAGGGAAGAAAAUGACGGUACCUGACUAAGAAGCCCCGGCUAACUACGUGCCAGCAGCCGCGGUAAUACGUAGGGGGCAAGCGUUAUCCGGAUUUACUGGGUGUAAAGGGAGCGUAGACGGUAGAGCAAGUCUGAAGUGAAAGCCCGGGGCCCAACCCCGGGACUGCUCUUGGAACUGCAUGGCUGGAGUACAGGAGGGGC
rnacentral:rRNA from 1 species